rnacentral:rRNA from 14 species
AUCUCAGAUUAAGUAAGACUACCCGCUGAAUUUAAGCAUAUAAUUAAGCGGAGGAAAAGAAACUAACAAGGAUUCCCCUAGUAACGGCGAGUGAAGCGGGAAGAGCUCAAAUUUAAAAUCUGGCAGUGUAUUCUGUCCGAGUUGUAGUCUAGAGAAGCAUCAUCCGUGCUGGACCAUGUACAAGUCUCUUGGAACAG